rnacentral:rRNA from 1 species
UUGCCUACGGGACGCAGCAGUGAGGAAUAUUGGUCAAUGGGCGGGAGCCUGAACCAGCCAAGUCGCGUGAAGGAAGAAGGUACUUAGUAUUGUAAACUUCUUUUGUCGGGGAACAAAGGCGGAGACGCGUCUCCGGAUGAGUGUACCCGAAGAAAAAGCAUCGGCUAACUCCGUGCCAGCAGCCGCGGUAAUACGGAGGAUGCGAGCGUUAUCCGGAUUUAUUGGGUUUAACGGGAGCGCAGGCGGCGCGUUAAGUCAGCGGUAAAAUCGCGGGGCUCAACCUCGCUCCGCCGUU